AUCCUGCUAGAAUCAUUCUAGCAGCUCUGUCAGAAUUCUGUUAAAAUUUUGUAAGAAUUUUCUUACAGGAAAUACUGCUCGCUGAUUGGCUGGCCUUGUACCGGUUCAGUUCGUGUUUCAACAAGUUCAAUUUUCACUCGUUUUAUUCUACCUCGACCGUUUGAACACGUUUUUUUCGGGAGCAACAUCAUCGUCAAAAACCCAUCGGAACCAAGGUCGGAAUCAAAUGAUUUGCUGGCAAAUUACAACAUCCCUUCACAGAUAUGGCCCUGCGGUACUGGCGACAACCCGGCCUGGAACUGGGAGUUCCGAUUCCUCAUCAUCGGCAUCAAGGAAAAACCUUCUCAACUCGUGCAGAUGGGAUAAUGGAACAAAAAAGUUGUCUCAGAGGAACAACAGUUGCCGCCUCUAUGUUGGUAUUGCCGGCAAUCUGAGUGCAGUGAAAUAAUUUUGUAAUAUAAAUAGAAAUAAAUUUCGUGUGAAACAAAA